AUCCAGCUGAAGAGUCCCGAAUGAGACGAAACGCGCGUCCUGGAU
rfam:Schistosoma curassoni strain Dakar, Senegal genome assembly, scaffold: SCTD_contig0001548